rnacentral:rRNA from 1 species
GGACUACUGGGGUUUCUAAUCCUGUUUGAUCCCCAUGCUUUCGGGUCUCAGUGUCAGUGUUGGGCCAGAUCGCCGCCUUCGCCACCGGUGUUCCUCCAGAUAUCUACGUAUUUCACCACUACACCUGGAAUUCCACGAUCCUCUCCCACACUCAAGCUCUGCAGUAUCAAAAGCACUUCCCGAGUUAAGCUCGGGGCUUUCACUCCUGACUUAUAGAGCCACCUACACCCGCUUUACGCCCAAUGAUUCCGAACAACGCUUGGACCCCUCGUCUUACCGCGGCUGCUGGCAC